GGGGAACGAGAGAACCAAGGGCUCAAGCGGAAGGAGAGUGGCUUGGGCAUGUUCUUUCCAAUUUUACUCGCGAUCCCAGACGGACGUCUGAGGAAAAUACUCAAGUAGUGCAGUGAAAGGAAAAAUUCUAACCUCGACCGUAAUUACCGCGUGUCCAUCAUGGCUAAGAUCUAGUCAAAAGAUCAGCCGACCAUUCCUACGUUUAUUAAGCGAAGGCCGAACCCAUCGGGUUUGGCCGUACGUAAUACCGUACGAAACGCCGGUCGUAGUGCCGUAAGCCGUACCCACUACAGUCUCGUCACCUUACCACACAUAUAAAUACCCAGCGUCCCGAUCGACUACAGUAUGUG